UUUUUGCAAUUUUGCAAUUUUUUCUGUAGCUUGAUUUAAUGAAGAAUGCCCGAUCCACGCCCCCCUUGAUGAAAUUAUGAAUUUAAAUUACAUGAGAUGGAAAGAAUUUUUAAUGUUCGCUUUCCUGAUCGACCAGUAUGACGAAGGUGAUUCGCGAGCUAAUUCUGAAAUUUACCGAGACGGGCAGUGUUGCCAGUAGGAAUAAUCCAAGGCGUCCGAGCUAUCCAGAAAAAAAAACAGGUGGAUAUAUAGCAGCUAUGGUAAGAGAUCACAACAUUCCACUUCCACAGUUCUACAUUACACACGUGUGAUGUAUCUUCAGCUACUGUGAAAAGGAAUAUGAUACUGAUCGACGUAUGGAAUUCUAUGAAGUAAUGAAAGAAUACAUUUGUUUCAGUUAUAAAUGUACUUUUUUAUUGAAUGGUAAUGUUCAUAGACAAAAUAUCCGUUAUUGGAGCGACGUAAAUCCCCACACAUUUCGUGAAACACACACACCAAAAACAUGUUUGGGCUAUAUUAGAGAAUCACAUUGUUGGGCCUAUCUUUUUAGAGCAAAAUUUGACAGGACACCUUCACUUAAACAUGUUGGAAAGAACCACUUAUUCUCGAGAUUAUUGAAUACAAUCCCCAUAAGCUUCAGUUGGAAACAGUUUUUCAACAAGAUGGGGGACCGCCUUUAGCAGUAAGCUGUUAGAGAAUAUUUGACUAACUUUUUCUUUGUUUCCAUUGUACUUAAGUAUCUUAUUUUUUUGUAACUUAUAAGGGUUAAUAAAAGUCGUUUUUAUUUA